GUGUGUGUGUGUGUGUGUGAAUGAACGUGUGUGCGUGCAUGCACGUGCGGGAUAAGGCUGCGUGGGUGGACAUAGUGGGUGAUGAUAGGCUGCUGCACUGUUUGGGAGCUGCUGUUGUCAGAUAAUGAGAGAACCUGUGAAUG